AUGGCUCAGAUUGAACGCUGGCGGCAGGCCUAACACAUGCAAGUCGAACGGGUAACAGGGAAGCAGCUUGCUGCUUCGCUGACGAGUGGCGGACGGGUGAGUAAUGUCUGGGAAACUGCUGGAUGGAGGGGGAUAACUACUGGAAACGGUGGCUAAUACCGCAUAACGUCGCAAGACCAAAGAGGNGGGACCUUCGGGCCUCUUGCCAUCAGAUGUGCCCAGAUGGGAUUAGCUUGUUGGUGAGGUAACGGCUCACCAAGGCGACGAUCCCUAGCUGGUCUGAGAGGAUGACCAGCCACACUGGAACUGAGACACGGUCCAGACUCCUACGGNAGGCAGCAGUGGGGAAUAUUGCACAAUGGGCGCAAGCCUGAUGCAGCCAUGCCGCGUGUAUGAAGAAGGCCUUCGGGUUGUAAAGUACUUUCAGCGGGGAGGAAGGUGUUGUGGUUAAUAACCGCAGCAAUUGACGUUACCCGCAGAAGAAGCACCGGCUAACUCCGUGCCAGCAGCCGCGGUAAUACGGAGGGUGCAAGCGUUAAUCGGAAUUACUGGGCGUAAAGCGCACGCAGGCGGUCUGUCAAGUCGGAUGUGAAAUCCCCGGGCUCAACCUGGGAACUGCAUUCGAAACUGGCAGGCUUGAGUCUUGUAGAGGGGGGUAGAAUUCCAGGUGUAGCGGUGAAAUGCGUAGAGAUCUGGAGGAAUACCGGUGGCGAAGGCGGCCCCCUGGACAAAGACUGACGCUCAGGUGCGAAAGCGUGGGGAGCAAACAGGAUUAGAUACCCUGGUAGUCCACGCCGUAAACGAUGUCUACUUGGAGGUUGUGCCCUUGAGGCGUGGCUUCCGGAGCUAACGCGUUAAGUAGACCGCCUGGGGAGUACGGCCGCAAGGUUAAAACUCAAAUGAAUUGACGGGGGCCCGCACAAGCGGUGGAGCAUGUGGUUUAAUUCGAUGCAACGCGAAGAACCUUACCUGGUCUUGACAUCCACAGAAGAAUCCAGAGAUGGAUUUGUGCCUUCGGGAACUGUGAGACAGGUGCUGCAUGGCUGUCGUCAGCUCGUGUUGUGAAAUGUUGGGUUAAGUCCCGCAACGAGCGCAACCCUUAUCCUUUGUUGCCAGCGAUUAGGUCGGGAACUCAAAGGAGACUGCCAGUGAUAAACUGGAGGAAGGUGGGGAUGACGUCAAGUCAUCAUGGCCCUUACGACCAGGGCUACACACGUGCUACAAUGGCGCAUACAAAGAGAAGCGACCUCGCGAGAGCAAGCGGACCUCAUAAAGUGCGUCGUAGUCCGGAUUGGAGUCUGCAACUCGACUCCAUGAAGUCGGAAUCGCUAGUAAUCGUGGAUCAGAAUGCCACGGUGAAUACGUUCCCGGGCCUUGUACACACCGCCCGUCACACCAUGGGAGUGGGUUGCAAAAGAAGUAGGUAGCUUAACCUUCGGGAGGGCGCUUACCACUUUGUGAUUCAUGACUGGGGUGAAGUCGUAACAAGG
rnacentral:rRNA from 1 species